UACGUAGGGGGCGAGCGUUGUCCGGAUUUAUUGGGCGUAAAGAGCUCGUAGGCGGUUUGUUGCGUCGGCUGUGAAAUCCCGAGGCUCAACCUCGGGUCUGCAGUCGAUACGAGCAAACUAGAGUGUUGCAGGGGAGACUGGAAUUCCUGGUGUAGCGGUGAAAUGCGCAGAUAUCAGGAGGAACACCGGUGGCGAAGGCGGGUCUCUGGGCCGAUACUGACGCUGAGGAGCGAAAGCGUGGGGAGCGAACAGG
rnacentral:rRNA from 1 species